rnacentral:rRNA from 1 species
GAUGAACGCUGGCGGUAUGCUUAACACAUGCAAGUCGAACGGACUCUUCGGAGUUAGUGGCGGACGGGUGAGUAACGCGUGAGAAUCUGGCUUUGGGUUCGGGACAACCACUGGAAACGGUGGCUAAUACCGGAUGUGCCGAGAGGUAAAAGAGAAAUUGCCUGAAGAUGAGCUCGCGUCUGAUUAGCUAGUUGGUGAGGUAAAGGCUCACCAAGGCAGCGAUCAGUAGCUGGUCUGAGAGGAUGACCAGCCACACUGGGACUGGGACGCGGCCCAGACUACUACGGGAGGAAGCAGUGGGGAAUUAUCCACAAUGGGCGAGAGCCUGACGGAGCACUACCGCGUGAAGGAAGAAGGCUCUUGGGUUGUAAACCUCUUUUCUUAGGGAAGAACAGAAUGACGGUACCUAAGGAAUCAGCAUCGGCUAACUCCGUG